GAUGAACGCUGGCGGCGUGCCUAAUACAUGCAAGUCGAACGCAUAGCGAAAGGUGCUUGCACCUUUCAAGUGAGUGGCGAACGGGUGAGUAACACGUGGACAACCUGCCUCAAGGCUGGGGAUAACAUUUGGAAACAGAUGCUAAUACCGAAUAAAACUUAGUGUCGCAUGACACAAAGUUAAAAGGCGCUUCGGCGUCACCUAGAGAUGGAUCCGCGGUGCAUUAGUUAGUUGGUGGGUAAAGGCCUACCAAGACAAUGAUGCAUAGCCGAGUUGAGAGACUGAUCGGCCACAUUGGGACUGAGACACGGCCCAAACUCCUACGGGAGGCUGCAGUAGGGAAUCUUCCACAAUGGGCGAAAGCCUGAUGGAGCAACGCCGCGUGUGUGAUGAAGGCUUUCGGGUCGUAAAGCACUGUUGUAUGGGAAGAACAGCUAGAAUAGGAAAUGAUUUUAGUUUGACGGUACCAUACCAGAAAGGGACGGCUAAAUACGUG
rnacentral:rRNA from 1 species